rnacentral:rRNA from 1 species
AUUGAACGCUGGCGGCAUGCCUUACACAUGCAAGUCGAACUGUAACAGGUCUUCGGAUGCUGAUGAGUGGCGAAUGGGUGAGUAAUACAUCGGAACGUGCCUAGUAGUGGGGGAUAACUACUCGAAAGAGUGGCUAAUACCGCAUGAGAUCUACGGAUGAAAGCAGGGGAUCGCAAGACCUUGUGCUACUAGAGCGGCCGAUGGCAGAUUAGGUAGUUGGUGGGAUAACAGCUUACCAAGCCGACGAUCUGUAGCUGGUCUGAGAGGACGAUCAGCGACACUGGGACUGAGACACGGCCCAGACUCCUACGGGAGGCAGCAGUGGGGAAUUUUGGACAAUGGGCGAAAGCCUGAUCCAGCAAUGCCGCGUGCAGGAUGAAGGCCUUCGGGUUGUAAACUGCUUUUGUACGGAACGAAAAGCCCCGGGUUAAUACCCUGGGGUCAUGACGGUACCGUAAGAAUAAGCACCGGCUAACUACGUGCCAGCAGCCGCGGUAA